GGAGAUGUAGUUCCGUGGUUAAAGUGCUUACCUAGCAUGAAUGAGGCCCUGGGUUCAAUCUCCAGCUGAUCUUCU
rnacentral:tRNA from 1 species